ensembl:lncRNA
CCCACCAGGAAUGUGAUAGAAGGGAGUCCUGUACUCUUAAAAGCUAUAACCUGUUGAUGUCUGUCAUCUCAGCCAAAUCAAUGAGUCCAUCCAUUUUUUUGUUCUAAAUGAGAUACAUUUCUGUCUUUUUCAUAGCCAAGUAAUAUCAAUGAUGUUUAAUCAGGAUGGAGGCAUGAUGCUCAGCAAAAAAGGAACCACUGUGAGAGAAUGGAUAUGGCCUUCAAAGGGAAAACUUGACGAUCCAGUUGAAAUUUGGGUGAAUAAGUUCAUUACCGUGAAGAUUUCUGGGCGCUUUGCCAUCACCUUGAUCUACAAAUGGCACCCCCAAAGUAUAAGUCUGUCUCUGGCGCCCGUGAAAUGCAAACCUUUUCCUCCACAGUUACCUGAGGCGUCACUCCACGAUGUCAAUACUAUGUCCGAAGAAGCCAGGAAGCUAUUCAAGGCCUACAAAGUGAAGUGCAAGCAAAUGAAAUGCAUAACACAGAACAAAGAUCCUUCAAGUUUAACAGACUCAGUGGAUAUAGCUACAUUUGAUCCAGUAAUGGACAUAAGCCCUAUGUCUGACGUGGUGGCCAUUAUUAAAUUGAGAGGACUACAGACAAAGGCCAAGCAUAUCCUACUUCAAUGGCUUGAUCACUACAGAUUUGCCUUAGGAAUAGAAACCCGACAUAUUUGCAAAAUGCCCAAGUUUCCACAAAAAGUGGUCAGAAGAAGAAUCUCAACAGCAAAAUUUCCUUUGAAACAAAGUACAAAGGAAAGCAAUGAGAAUAAGGA